AUGAGCAAGAGACAAAGCGACAAAGGGCCAAGUCAAGGAACAUCCCCGGGUAGGAUGAAUCAUAAAAGCCACGGAAAGUCACUUUCUUUUCGUGGCUCCAGGCUGCCGCCUCUGCAAAGGGAGACCGACGUGGAAGGGGCAAGGAGCUGGCACCACAGACAACAGGUCUUCCAAGCAAGAAUCGGGGAUCCUCCCUACUCCUUGCCUCGUGUUUGCUCUCCAGGUCUGAGACACCCCUACCCCCCAGCACUGCUGCCUCACCCCAGUGCCAGCCGUGGCUGCACAUGGGCUUGUCUAAACAAAUUGGUCAUUACCACCCUGAGGAAGCCCGAUGAACCUGCUGCAGCAGGAGCUGGACUUCUGCAAGAAGUCCCUUUGGUGGAUCUACUCAUUGAGGGGCAUCUCGAACACCCUGACGGGACAGGGCUCCUGGAGAAGACGGGUCUGGGCUGGCCUCAUCUCUGUAACUGGUGGGAACAGACCACUGAGCUUCCCCAGCAGUUAGAGAAGACGAAUACCUGCCUCCCCGGCCACGGUGGAUGGACAUCACUCACCACCCUGAUCAUGGCUGAGACAGAGAACAGAGAUGACUCAAAAUACAAAUAACACUCAUUUGUCCCAUGGACCCAUUUAUCAACACGUUAAAACGCUGAAAUGCUCGAACUUGACUUUCAACCUUUCCCAGGAAUUUUCACAGAAAUCAGAAUACUCUAAAGCAUCCACACUCUGGGAUGGCAUGAGAAAUGAGCAAAGCUCUGAACUGAGUACUUAAGUGAUGAAGCACUUGACAAAAACAAGACAUGAAUUUGAACAGCAAUAACUUUGGGUUAUCACCAAUGUCAAGUUGAAUCUAUAUAUGUAUUCAUAUAUUAUAUAUAUCUCUUUCUUUAGAAAUGCAACUUUACAGCUGAUUUUUUAAAAAGCUAAUAGAAAAGUAGAAACUGACAAUCAUUUUUACAUGUCUUCCCCCACCCCCAAAUGAAGCCCUGUUAGGAUGUAGCAAUCACAUGAAGAUGAGGCUUGUCAAUUCCUCUAUAAAUUCUUUGGUUCUGUGGCUCGGGAGAGGAUGCGUCCCCAAGACCCCUACUCCUGACCCUCGCUCUCCUUCCCUCCCUUGAUGAUGAGACUCUGAACACAGAAGGAAUCAAGAGUACGGGAGGGUUAAGCAAAGAACAUUCAAGGGACAGUAUGAUUCCCUACGCUCUGCUGAGCAAAGAGAACUGCUCAGUACCCCCAACAUCUUAAAGUGGAGUUCCAUGGAAUCUUCUGAGAGAUUCCAUGUUGGGUAGAAAGCCGUAAAACAAAAUGAUAGGGAAACAAUAAAAUAAAAUAAAUGACCCUUUCCUCUCGUUGCUCAGAAACGAAAUUGAUUACCUUUACACACAGAUCAAUGGCGCUAUUAGUAUUUAAGCCAGGCAAGAGGGGAUAAUGAACUGNNNNNNNNNNNNNNNNNNNNAUCCUCAUCUUUGGUAUUGUAGCUGUUGAGGUUUCUGUUGCUCUGUUCCGUGUUCUUUUGAAAAACUGCAUAGGCAC
rnacentral:lncRNA from 1 species